CGCGGCCUAUCAGCUUGUUGGUGGGGUAAUGGCCUACCAAGGCUUCGACGGGUAGCCGGCCUGAGAGGGUGACCGGCCACACUGGGACUGAGACACGGCCCAGACUCCUACGGGAGGCAGCAGUGGGGAAUAUUGGACAAUGGGCGGAAGCCUGAUCCAGCAACGCCGCGUGAGGGAUGACGGCCUUCGGGUUGUAAACCUCUUUCAGCACAGACGAAGCGCAAGUGACGGUAUGUGCAGAAGAAGGACCGGCCAACUACGUGCCAGCAGCCGCGGUAAUACGUAGGGUCCGAGCGUUGUCCGGAAUUAUUGGGCGUAAAGGGCUCGUAGGCGGUUUGUCGCGUCGGGAGUGAAAACACCGGGCUUAACUCGGUGCUUGCUUUCGAUACGGGCAGACUAGAGGUAUUCAGGGGAGAACGGAAUUCCUGGUGUAGCGGUGAAAUGCGCAGAUAUCAGGAGGAACACCGGUGGCGAAGGCGGUUCUCUGGGAAUAUCCUGACGCUGAGGAGCGAAAGUGUGGGGAGCGAACAGGAUUAGAUACCCUGGUAGUCCACACCGUAAACGUUGGGCGCUAGGUGUGGGGUCCAUUCCACGGAUUCCGUGCCGCAGCUAACGCAUUAAGCGCCCCGCCUGGGGAGUACGG
rnacentral:rRNA from 2 species